rnacentral:rRNA from 2 species
GAUUAAGUUAUUAAGGGCGCACGGUGGAUGCCUUGGCACUAGAAGCCGAUGAAGGACGUUACUAACGACGAUAUGCUUUGGGGAGCUGUAAGU